UGGGGGAUAUUGGACAAUGGGGGCAACCCUGAUCCAGCAACGCCGCGUGAGUGAAGAAGGCCUUUGGGUCGUAAAGCUCUGUCAACUGGGAAGAAAUUAUAGUUAUCUAACAGGUGUCUAUAUUGACGGUACCAGUGGAGGAAGCGCCGGCUAACUCCGUGCCAGCAGCCGCGGUAAGACGGGGGGCGCAAGCGUUAUUCGGAAUUAUUGGGCGUAAAGGGCGCGCAGGCGGUCUUGUCGGUCAGGUGUGAAAGCCCGGGGCUCAACCCCGGAUGGUCACUUGAAACAGCAAGACUUGAAUACUGGAGAGGAAAGCGGAAUUCCUGGUGUAGAGGUGAAAUUCGUAGAUAUCAGGAGGAACACCGAUGGCGAAGGCAGCUUUCUGGACAGAUAUUGACGCUGAGGCGCGAAGGCGUGGGUAGCGAACGGGAUUAGAUACCCGGGUAGUCC
rnacentral:rRNA from 1 species